AUUGAACGCUGGCGGCAGGCCUAACACAUGCAAGUCGAGCGGAUGAAGGGAGCUUGCUCCUGGAUUCAGCGGCGGACGGGUGAGUAAUGCCUAGGAAUCUGCCUGGUAGUGGGGGAUAACGUCCGGAAACGGGCGCUAAUACCGCAUACGUCCUGAGGGAGAAAGUGGGGGAUCUUCGGACCUCACGCUAUCAGAUGAUCCUAGGUCGGAUUAGCUAGUUGGUGGGGUAAAGGCCUACCAAGGCGACGAUCCGUAACUGGUCUGAGAGGAUGAUCAGUCACACUGGAACUGGAACACGGCCCAGACUCCUACGGGAGGCAGCAGUGGGGAAUAUUGGGCAAUGGGCGAAAGCCUGAUCCAGCCAUGCCGCGUGUGUGAAGAAGGUCUUCGGAUUGUAAAGCACUUUAAGUUGGGAGGAAGGGCAGUAAGUUAAUACCUUGCUGUUUUGACGUUACCAGCAGAAUAAGCACCGGCUAACUUCGUG
rnacentral:rRNA from 1 species